ACGGGGUGCAGCAGGCGCGAAAACUUCCCGAUGCGCGAAAGCGUGAGGAGGGAACCCCAAGUGUGAGCCGACAAGGUUUACUUUUCUAGAGUGUAAAAAGCUCCAGGAAUAAGGGCUGGGUAAGACUGGUGCCAGCCGCCGCGGUAACACCAGCAGCUCGAGUGGUAGUCGUUUUUAUUGGGCUUAAAGCGUUCGUAGUCGGUUUCGUCAGUCUUCUGUGAAAUCCAUCGGCUUAACCGAUGGGCUGGCAGAGGAUACUGCGGGACUAGGAGCCGGGAAGGGCGAGGGGUAUUCCUUAGGUAGCGGUGAAAUGCUAUAAUCUUAGGAAGACCGCCGGUGGCGAAGGCGCCUCGCUGGAACGGGCUCGACGAUGAGGAACGAAAGCUAGGGGAGCAAAUCGGAUUAGAUACCCGAAUAGUCCUAGCCGUAAACUAUGCAGACUAAGUGUUAUCCAAACCUCGUGUUCGGAUAGUGCUGAAGGGAAACCAUUAAGUCUGCCGCCUGGGAGUACGUCGCAA
rnacentral:rRNA from 1 species